rnacentral:rRNA from 1 species
UACGGAAGGCAGCAGUGGGGAAUAUUGCACAAUGGGCGCAAGCCUGAUGCAGCCAUGCCGCGUGUAUGAAGAAGGCCUUCGGGUUGUAAAGUACUUUUCAGUCGUGAGGAAGGUGUUAAGGUUAAUAACCUUAGCAAUUGACGUUAGCGACAGAAGAAGCACCGGCUAACUCCGUGCCAGCAGCCGCGGUAAUACGGAGGGUGCGAGCGUUAAUCGGAAUUACUGGGCGUAAAGGGCACGCAGGCGGUUAAUUAAGUUGGAUGUGAAAUCCCCGGGCUUAACCUGGGAAUGGCAUUCAAGACUGGUUAGCUAGAGUCUUGUAGAGGGGGUAGAAUUCCAUGUGUAGCGGUGAAAUGCGUAGAGAUGUGGAGGAAUACCGGUGGCGAAGGCGGCCCCUGGACAAAGACUGACGCUCAUGUGCGAAAGCGUGGGGAGCAAACAGGAUUAGAUACC